GCGUUGCUGGUGUAAAUGGUUAUCAUAUGGGCCUUCCAAUCCCGGGAUUCGGGUUCAAUUCCCGAGUGACGCA